rnacentral:lncRNA from 1 species
UGAUUUGAUGCGCGAAGUUGUUGUUUCCAAGUCCAAAGAACUGAGUUUCAUUCAAACAUGUCCAGAAAAUUUGUCCAACCAUGAUCGUGUAGCUCGACACAUUUCCAUCUGCAACAAAUCAAACAAUUUCCCAAUGGUUGUUGGUAAUUAUCAAACUCAUUCAGCAAUUUUCUUUCACAUAGAAGAAUUACCUAAAUCUUUCUGCUUCUUACUGUUCACAAAGUUCAAAUUGUUGAAAGAACUGGACUUUGAAGGAGUCCCAUUGACUUAUAUUCCAGAGGAACUGGGAAAUCUGUUCAAUUUGAAAUACUUGAGCAUAAGGGACACAAAGGUGAAAAAGCUCCUAAGAUCUAUAGGUAAAUUGCAUAAGCUUCAAACUUUGGAUCUAAAACGUUCAUUUGUAAGCAAGUUACCAGUUGAAAUCAACAUGCUCUUCAAUCUUCAAUAUCUUGUAGCUUACUACAAAGAUAAACAAAGCAUCAACAGUAUCAAUAGUCGAAGAGGGAUGAAGUUAUAUUCCAACUUUGGGAGCUUAGAGUCCUUAGAAAAGCUGUAUGAGGUGGACUUGGAGGCCUACAGUGGUGGUAAUUUCUUUCGCGAGUUAGCAAGAUUGAAGCAGUUGAGAAAACUAUGCAUCACUAAACUAAAAUCAGAAAAUGGGAAUGAUUUAUGUGAUGCAAUACAGCAGAUGAUCCACCUUCAGUCAUUGAGAAUUUCUUCUAUAAAAGAGGAAGAGCUUCUUCACCUACAUACAAUGUCAUCCCCUCCGGUUUUUCUCCGUUGCCUCAGGCUACGAGGAAUAUUAAUGAAGUUACCUGGUUGGAUUUAUGAACUGAGGAACCUCACAAAACUUAC